rnacentral:rRNA from 1 species
GAUGAACGCUGGCGGCGUGCCUAACACAUGCAAGUCGAGCGGACAGACGAGGCUCUUGCUCGUCUGACGUUAGCGGCGGGCGGGUGAGUCACACGUGUAUACCCUACCUAUAAGACUGAGAUCACUUCGGGAAACCGGAGCUAACACCGGAUAAGAUAUUGAACCGCGUGGUUCAUUGGUGAAAGACGGCUUUGCUGUCACUUAUCGCGGCAUCCGCGCCGGAUUAGCUAGUUGGUACGGUAACGGCUUACCAAGGCUACGAUGCGUAGCCGACCUGAGAGGGUGAUCGGCCACACUGGAACUGAGACACGGUCCAGACUCCUACGGGAGGCAGCAGUAGGGAAUCUUCCGCAAUGGGCGAAAGCUUGACGGAGCAACGCCGCGUGAGUGAUGAAGGUCUUCGGAUCGUAAAGCUCUGUUAUUAGGGAAGAACAAAUGUGUAAUUAAAUAUGCACGUCUUGACGGUACCUAAUCAGAAAGCCCCGGCUAACUACGUG